rnacentral:rRNA from 1 species
GACGAACGCUGGCGGCGUGCUUAACACAUGCAAGUCGAACGGUGAAGCGCCUUCCUUUUUGGUGGGUGUGGAUGAGUGGCGAACGGGUGAGUAACACGUGAGUAACCUGCCCCCUUCUUCUGGAUAACCGCAUGAAAGUGUGGCUAAUACGGGAUAUUCUGGGUCUGUCGCAUGAUGGGUCUGGGAAAGAUAUUGUUUCUGUGGGGGAUGGGCUCGCGGCCUAUCAGCUUGUUGGUGGGGUGAUGGCCUACCAAGGCGGUGACGGGUAGCCGGCCUGAGAGGGUGGACGGUCACACUGGGACUGAGACACGGCCCAGACUCCUACGGGAGGCAGCAGUGGGGAAUAUUGCACAAUGGGCGCAAGCCUGAUGCAGCGACGCCGCGUGAGGGAUGGAGGCCUUCGGGUUGUGAACCUCUUUCGCCAGUGAAGCAGGCCUGCCUCGUUUGUGGGUGGGUUGACGGUAGCUGGAUAAGAAGCGCCGGCUAACUACGUG